GCACACGUGAACCGGUGGAGCCUCGGUCAUUUUUGUGAACUGCUGGUUUCACGAGCGGCUCUAGUACUCAGAGUGCUGUUCUCUGCAGAGGUCUGAGAGCGGAUCCCACAGAAGGUGAAUGCAGAGGUCUGAGAGCGGAACAGGAAGCAGAUCUGCAGUGAUUCGCAGCUGUUUCUGCUCAGUCAUUAACAUAUUCAUCUCUCGGCAGAGCAGCAGGAGUAGAGGAGUGUUCGCUCUUCUCAGUCCACUGAGUGUUUCUGUGGAAGCUGAAGGAUCUCAGAUGGUUGUGCUGGGAAACUGUUCCGCGUCUGCUCUCAUCUGUCUGUCAGCGGAUGCUCAGGCGUUUGCUCUGAUUGUUCUGGAUUAUUGUGUUUGGCCGGAGGGAUGCAGUCCAGCCCCUAAAGGUCAACGGCACGAGUGGCAUUUGGGUUCUGACAGGCGACCCAGAUUCACUGAUCUUCAUGUUCUGUUGCAGUCAGAGACGUGACUCCUGGAGAGUGUGCUUCAGUUUCUCCUGAGGAGAGGAUACACCAGCCUUCAGAGCAGUGACAGACCUUCAUACACACACACACACACACACACACACACACACACACACACACACACACACUCACACUCACACACACACACACACACACAAACACACUCACACACACACACACACACUCCAUUCAGCUCAAGUCAGUCAGGCUGUUUGUUUCAUACCAGUGUGUGUGUGUGUGUGUGUGUGUGUGUGUGUGUGUGUGUUUAGCUAUUUUAAGCAUGUUUUGGGGACAUCCUCUUCUGUAAACACACCAUAAAAUAAAUAGAGGUUUGUGAGAUUUUUAUUGGUUAAAAUGCUGAACAUGUUCGUGUUUUCUUAUGGUAUUUAUUAUAACUAGUGGUAAGUAAAAACAGUAAGUCUGUGGAAUGUGUCCGCUGAUCUAAGACUGUCAACAUGACACAGAUAUAAUAUAUGAUGUUUACUCUGAUCAGCAGAGGUGAUUUAACAACUUCUUUUUUCUUUCCACAGUUAUAUAUAUUAAAUGUUUUAUUGUCUCUGUCUGGAUGUAAGUGAAGAAUUAUUUGUAAGUUUUGUUUUUUCAGGUUCUGAUGAUUAAUGUGUACACAUGCACCUCAUUAUUAAUGUGCUUUUCCAUUAAUGACUGCUGUCUGUUUCUGUUGAACUAUCGGUGUGUGUGCAUUCAUCUCUUCAAAGAUGUGUUCAAAUGUAUUAUUUUCUGGGCUGUUUCAAAUAUGAAAAAAUAUUGUUAACAUGUUUCUUUAUGCUCAAAGAAAUAUAGUGUCACAAAUCGACUGAUUUAACACAAAUGCCGACAUCUGUCUGCGUGUAGCUGUGUGUGUUUUUCUGACUGUGUGUGUGUUUGUGUUCUGAGAUCCAGAG
ensembl:lncRNA